rnacentral:rRNA from 1 species
UACGUAGGGUGCGAGCGUUGUCCGGAAUUAUUGGGCGUAAAGAGCUUGUAGGCGGUCUGUCGCGUCUGCUGUGAAAAUCCAGGGCUCAACCCUGGACCUGCAUUCGAUACGGGCAGACUAGAGUUCGGUAGGGGAGACUGGAAUUCCUGGUGUAGCGGUGAAAUGCGCAGAUAUCAGGAGGAACACCGGUGGCGAAGGCGGGUCUCUGGGCCGAAACUGACGCUGAGGAGCGAAAGCGUGGGGAGCAAACAGG